UGGGGAAUUUUGGACAAUGGGCGAAAGCCUGAUCCAGCCAUGCCGCGUGAGUGAAGAAGGCCUUCGGGUUGUAAAGCUCUUUUAGUCGGAAAGAAAGAGUUGCAAUGAAUAAUUGUGAUUUAUGACGGUACCGACAGAAAAAGCACCGGCUAACUACGUACCAGCAGCCGCGGUAAUACGUAGGGUGCGAGCGUUAAUCGGAAUUACUGGGCGUAAAGGGUGCGCAGGCGGUCUUGCAAGUCAGAUGUGAAAGCCCCGGGCUUAACCUGGGAAUUGCGUUUGAAACUACAAGGCUAGAGUGCAGCAGAGGGGAGUGGAAUUCCAUGUGUAGCAGUGAAAUGCGUAGAGAUGUGGAAGAACACCGAUGGCGAAGGCAGCUCCCUGGGUUGACACUGACGCUCAUGCACGAAAGCGUGGGGAGCAAACA
rnacentral:rRNA from 1 species